rnacentral:rRNA from 1 species
AAACUAACAAGGAUUCCCCUAGUAGCGGCGAGCGAAGCGGGAAGAGCUCAAAUUUGUAAUCUGGCGUCCUCCGGGCGUCCGAGUUGUAAUCUAUAGAGACGUUUUCCGUGCCGGACCGUGUCCAAGUCCCUUGGAACAGGGUAUCAAAGAGGGUGACAAUCCCGUACUUGACACGACGACCGGUGCUCUGUGAUACGUUUUCUACGAGUCGAGUUGUUUGGGAAUGCAGCUCAAAAUGGGUGGUAAAUUCCAUCUAAAGCUAAAUAUAGGCGAGAGACCGAUAGCGAACAAGUACCGUGAGGGAAAGAUGAAAAGCACUUUGGAAAGAGAGUUAAACAGUAUGUGAAAUUGUUGAAAGGGAAACGAUUGAAGUCAGUCAUGUCCAUUGGAUUCAGCUGGUUCUGCCAGUGUAUUUCCUUUGGACGGGUCAACAUCAGUUUGAGCCGGCGGAUAAUGGCAGAGGGAAUGUGGCACCCCCGGGUGUGUUAUAGCCCUUUGCCGCAUACGUCGGCCCAGACUGAGGAAUGCAGCUCGCCUUUAUGGCCGGGGUUCGCCCACGUACGAGCUUAGGAUGUUGGCAUAAUGGCUUUAAACGACCCGUCUUG